CCUCGGGUGGCUGCAGUUAAGAAUCUUGCACAAUGGGCGCAAGCCUGAUGCAGCGACGCCGCGUGAAUGAUGAAGGCUUUCGGGUUGUAAAGUUCAGUAAGCAGGGAAGAAUAAGCACCGGGUAAUAUUCGGUGUGAUGACGGUACCUGCCUAAAGCCCCGGCUAACUACGUGCCAGCAGCCGCGGUAAUACGUAUGGGGCGAGCGUUGUUCGGAAUUAUUGGGCGUAGAGGGCGUCUAGGCGGGGGUGUGAAAGCUAUGGGCUCAACCCAUAAACUGCACCUAAAACUGAAUCUCUUGAGUUCGGGAGAGGAGAGCGGAAUUCCAGGUGUAGCGGUGAAAUGCGUAGAUAUCUGGAAGAACACCAGUGGCGAAGGCGGCUCUCUGGCCUAGAACUGACGCUGAAGCGCGAAAGCGUGGGGAGCGAACAGGAUUAGAUACCCUGGUAGUC
rnacentral:rRNA from 1 species